UAUGCUCCUGCUUCUCCCACCCAAAGUCUAAUUGACCCCAAUCCUGAGUAGCAAAUCUCCACUGCGCUACCCUAUUGCACCCUUCAUUUGACACUCUACUUUCACUCCUAUUAUCUGUUUAAUUAAUUUAAUUGAAAUAUAUCGUCAUGACGAAUCCCAUUUUUGAAUAGAUGUCAUGCGCAACCUUAAAGAUUUAGUUACCCAGUUCUUUACUAUCUUCUACACUGUCAGUAAUAGAUUUCAAAAAUCCAACAUACUGGUACUUUACGAUGCUUUUCAUUCAGAUAUAAACGAAUGUGCCAAUGGCGCGUAUGCCUGUCGUGGAAUGGCUAAUCCUGGAAACAGAAAAUGUGUGAAUACUGUGGGGUCGUAUUACUGCCGAUGCCUGGACGGAUUUACAGGUUCUACAUGCAUAGACAUUGAUGAAUGUCAAAAUGGCAAACACAACUGCAACGAAAUGGUCAAUAGUGACAACAGACAAUGCCAGAAUUUGAACGGCUCAUACCAUUGUCCCUGUCUUCCUGGAUAUGCUGGGUCGCAAUGUGACGGUGGAUUCGUCUCCAUUGUGACCUUCGCCAUCUCCAUCAGUCUUGUGGUAGUCGUCUCUGGGCUCACGAUCUCAAUUCUGAUAGCUCAGCUGAAGAGAAAAUAUACGAAAGCAGCCCACAUGAGAGUUCAAACUGCUGCUUUACAGAACACGGUGGGAACAGCUGGCAGUAACGCCCUAUCCCUAACAGGGAAUGACGCCUAUGGGACAACGACGUCUGGAGUUCGACAAGAUCCUUCUCUGUAUGAUACUAUACAGUAAUCUCUAUGCAUCAUUGCUCAGAAGCAGAAGCUCUACAUGGAUCUUCACGUGCACUGAUAGCAUAGUGACGUUUGGUGUACAUUGUACAUGUGCAUGUGUAUUGUAACUAUGCUUGUAAAGUAUGAAUAUUUUUCAUACUUCAAAGUUCUUUUUGAAAACUAUUCAUACUUCCCAACAAUCAUUCUCACCCUUCUAUUCGGCAUGUUUUCUCAUAAUUUUGUAGAUCUUAACAUUAUGCAACAUGCAUACAAAACAACAUACAUGUAUGUCACUCUGAGCGUUGGGUCUUGUCGGUUUUAGCUAGCCGAACUAGUCUAGCUCUAAAACACAUGGUAUGUAGCCUCCUCCGGGAUUAUGCUCCUGCUUCGGCCACCCAAAGCCUAAUUGUCGCCAAUCCUGAGUAGCCAAUCUCCACUGAGCUACCCUAUUGCACCCUUCAUUUGACACUCUCCUUUCACUCCUAUUAUCUGUUUGAUUAUUCGCUAUUUUCUGCUGUGUUCCAAAAUUAGAUCCUCUCUUUCAUUCUAAAUCUUCCAUUUUCCCCCGUGCUUUUAUCCCCUCAUGCUGAUGCUUCCUCCCGAAUUUGGUGCGCCUGCCAUGUGAAGAUGCCGAGACCUCUGGUCGGUUGAGCAUGGCAAGCCCCACCAGCACCAUCUCACCCCAUGCUAGCCUCAUGUGCCUGCCAGUAAGUUGUGUAUUUAGUUAAACAAUAAAACAAUGUUUUGAGUGUGACCAGGUUCGAAACAUGAAAUCAAUACGUUUUUAACAGCCUGCACGACGCCUUCGUUUUUAAUUGUUUUUAUUCGGUCUGGUCUCCCUUUUAGAUAAUGUUAAUACAGUAUACAUGUAUAUGUAUUUGAUAUUAUUUGAAGUGUGUUCAUUUUAUAAAGGUAGUUCACGCCUCCUUUCGGGCUAUUUUAGCAGGUAAUAUUCACAAAGGAUUUGCAGCGAUAUGAAUUUCCACGAUAUCUUGUGGUCAUCAGGGUGCUAUUGCUUCAAGGGCUUACUGACCUUCUUGCCUCAUUUUUUCAUCUCUCUUAUAUCAUGCUUGCUGUGCUCUUCUAUUCUUGGUUGAAUCCACCCCUACCCGUAAUAGCUCCUCGUCCACACAAGCGCUCAACUGUAUCGAAUUUUGAAGUUUCAACUUCACUUUAGUCUGCUUUCCAUCAGAAAGAAUGAUGUUCUGGCACUCCCCUCGGGU